GUGAGUAACACGUGAGCAACCUACCCUCAACUUCGGGAUAAGCCUCGGAAACGGGGUCUAAUACCGGAUAUCACUAGCUUCCUCAUGGUUGUUGGUUGAAAGUUCUGGCGGUUGGGGAUGGGCUCGCGGCCUAUCAGCUUGUUGGUGGGGUAAUGGCCUACCAAGGCGUCGACGGGUAGCCGGCCUGAGAGGGCGACCGGCCACACUGGGACUGAGACACGGCCCAGACUCCUACGGGAGGCAGCAGUGGGGAAUAUUGCGCAAUGGACGAAAGUCUGACGCAGCAACGCCGCGUGAGGGAUGACGGCCUUCGGGUUGUAAACCUCUUUCAGCAGGGACGAAGCGAGAGUGACGGUACCUGCAGAAGAAGGACCGGCCAACUACGUGCCAGCAGCCGCGGUAAUACGUAGGGUCCGAGCGUUGUCCGGAAUUAUUGGGCGUAAAGGGCUCGUAGGCGGUUCGUCACGUCGGGAGUGAAAACUCGGAGCUCAACUCCGAGCCUGCUUCCGAUACGGGCAGACUAGAGGUAGGCAGGGGAGAGCGGAACUCCUGGUGUAGCGGUGGAAUGCGCAGAUAUCAGGAAGAACACCGGUGGCGAAGGCGGCUCUCUGGGCCUUACCUGACGCUGAGGAGCGAAAGCGUGGGUAGCGAACAGGAUUAGAUAC
rnacentral:rRNA from 1 species